UACGUAGGGUGCAAGCGUUAAUCGGAAUUACUGGGCGUAAAGUGUGCGCAGGCGGCAGAGCAAGUCGAGUGUGAAAGCCCCGAGCUUAACUUGGGAAUUGCGCUCGAAACUACUUUGCUGGAGUGUGGCAGAGGAAGGUGGAAUUCCAGGUGUAGCGGUGAAAUGCGUAGAGAUCUGGAGGAACACCGAUGGCGAAGGCAGCCUUCUGGGCCAACACUGACGCUCAUGCACGAAAGCGUGGGGAGCGAACCGG
rnacentral:rRNA from 1 species